rnacentral:rRNA from 1 species
GUGGACGCCAGUCUGCAUGGAGCCGACCUUGAAAUACCACCCUUUAAUGUUUGAUGUUCUAACGUGGACCCGUGAUCCGGGUUGCGGACAGUGUCUGGUGGGUAGUUUGACUGGGGCGGUCUCCUCCUAAAGAGUAACGGAGGAGCACGAAGGUUGGCUAAUCCUGGUCGGACAUCAGGAGGUUAGUGCAAUGGCAUAAGCCAGCUUGACUGCGAGCGUGACGGCGCGAGCAGGUGCGAAAGCAGGUCAUAGUGAUCCGGUGGUUCUGAAUGGAAGGGCCAUCGCUCAACGGAUAAAAGGUACUCCGGGGAUAACAGGCUGAUACCGCCCAAGAGUUCAUAUCGACGGCGGUGUUUGGCACCUCGAUGUCGGCUCAUCACAUCCUGGGGCUGAAGUAGGUCCCAAGGGUAUGGCUGUUCGCCAUUUAAAGUGGUACGCGAGCUGGGUUUAGAACGUCGUGAGACAGUUCGGUCCCUAUCUGCCGUGGGCGCUGGAGAACUGAGGGGGGCUGCUCCUAGUACGAGAGGACCGGAGUGGACGCAUCACUGGUGUUCGGGUUGUCAUGCCAAUGGCACUGCCCGGUAGCUAAAUGCGGAAGAGAUAAGUGCUGAAAGCAUCUAAGCACGAAACUUGCCCCGAGAUGAGUUCUCCCUGAGACUUAAAGUCUCCUGAAGGAACGUUGAAGACGACGACGUUGAUAGGCCGGGUGUGUAAGCGCAGCGAUGCGUUGAGCUAACCGGUACUAAUGAACCGUGAGGCUUAACCUU